CAAAGGCGAGUACCGUUAAUUAGAAAUUCCGCGGGAAGGAGUCGCACGAGAAAUGUGUUGUGUUCGGAAUUCAUAUUGUUGUUAGCUCAACUGACUCUCUUAUUACUGUUUUAACCACACACUGUACGAAGGAAUGUCAUUUAUGCACACCGACCUGGGAUAAGAUGCUGGCGUGAGUGUUCACUGAUGCAGAACCAUCAACACUACAGUGACUGACAGCCAGUUAAAUACAUACUAAAAUUUAACAAGUGGGAUAUCACACACGCAGGAGUUCUCAACAGUCUAGAUUUGUGUCACGGACUUGUCUGAUGUGGCUUUAAUUAACAGGAUUCACCUUUUUAUCUCGUCGACACGGAACUCAGAAAAAGGUCCAGGAAAGUGGGGUUGAAAUCAAUUUAGCAAAAUAUAAUAGCUGAGCGGCAAAGAGGGACCGAAAUCGGCAAGACAGGUAAGUGAUACAAAUUAUCAAGACAGGUAAGUGAUAAAUUUUAUCAAGACAAGUAAGUGAUACAUUUAUCAAGAAAAGGAAAAAACAAAAAAAAA